rnacentral:misc_RNA from 1 species
UCUCCGUAGGUGAACCUGCGGAGGUAUCAUUACCGAGUGAGGGUUCCGGCCCGACCUCCAACCCCAUGUGAACCGAAACCUGUUGCUUCGGGGGCGACCCUGCCGUUCGGCGCGGCGCCCCCGGAGGCUCAUCAAACACUGCAUCUUUGCGUCGGAGUUAAAGUAAAUUAAACAAAACUUUCAACAACGGAUCUCUUGGUUCCAGCAUCGAUGAAGAACGCAGC